rnacentral:rRNA from 1 species
ACCCGGAGAACUGAAACAUCUAAGUACCCGGAGGAGAAGAAAACAAAAGUGAUUCCGAUAGUAGCGGCGAGCGAAAUUGGAUUAGCCCAAACCAGUAUUGUUACGGCAAUGCUGGGGUUGUAGGACCACGAUAUUUGAACCAUAAUGAAUUAGAACAGUUUGGAAAGACUGACCAAAGAGGGUGAUAGUCCCGUAUAGGUAAAGAUUGGUAAGAUAGUGGUAUCCUGAGUAGUGCGGGGCACGUGAAACCCUGUGUGAAUCAGUCGGGACCAUCCGAUAAGGCUAAAUACUCCUGAGAGACCGAUAGUGAACUAGUACCGUGAGGGAAAGGUGAAAAGAACCCUGAAUAAGGGAGUGAAAUAGAACCUGAAACCAUACGCUUACAAGCGGUCGGAGCGGAUUUAUCCGUGACGGCGUGCCUUUUGCAUAAUGAGCCUACGAGUUACCGUUGCUAGCAAGGUUAAGUACUUAAGGUACGGAUCCGUAGCGAAAGCGAGUCUGAAUAGGGCGCUUUAGUUAGUAGUGGUAGACGCGAAACCGUGUGAUCUACCCAUGGGCAGGGUGAAGCUGUGGUAACACACAGUGGAGGCCCGAACCGGUUGACGUUGAAAAGUCUUCGGAUGACCUGUGGGUAGGGGUGAAAGGCCAAUCAAACUCGGAAAUAGCUCGUACUCCCCGAAAUGCAUUUAGGUGCAGCGUUGAUUUAUAGUUUUAUAGAGGUAGAGCUACUGAUUGGAUGCGGGGGCUUCACCGCCUACCAAUUCCUGACAAACUCCGAAUGCUAUAAAAUGUUGAUCAGCAGU